ensembl:lncRNA
GGCGCUGAAGGCAGCGCUUUUCUAAAACAAGAAGUCGAGUGUGAACACGGCCUUAUUGUCUUCUGAAAGUCUACCAAACCAAACUGAAAGGGAUACAUCUCCUGGAAUAUAUUCAGAGACAGUUUUUGUGUCAGGUGUGACUGCUGUGGAUGGAGUCACAAGGCAGGAUCUGCAAACACUGCCGACAGAUGCGUCACAGAGUGUCUCUCCAGACCCCUUGCUUCUAGCAGAGAUGCCACAAACUGUUAUAUCUGUGUCUGAAAGUGUUUCUCCUCUCUACACUGUGGAGAGAGAAGAGACAGCAGCCCAAGAACAAUCUGUUGAAGAAGCUCUCAUUGCCGCUGCUGCUGGAGUAUCAGUAUUACCAGCUGAAUGCUCAGGCACUGACAGAGAUGAAAGUACUGAAACAGCUGAUGUCGUCACAACGGAAAAUACUCCUCACAAGUCAUUUGAAGAAAGUGUGGUUAGUGUGACUCCUGUCCGAAGUCCCAUUCAGAUGAACAUGAAUGAGAUUGCUGAUGCAGAUGAUUUGAAUCUGGUCAAGGAAAUGCCAGAAUCUCUGGCAGAUAACUCUGAACUGUCACCUCUCGCACAAGUACACCCUGAGGAGAUGUUAGGCUUUCCAAGUGAUCAGACAAGCGCUGCUGGUGGGGAGUGUCCAAACACAACAGACAUUGGGUUUAUAACAUCUGGCGGUAUACCCUGUCAGGAAGAGAGUUUGACAGAAAC